GAGGCUGACAGAUGCUGAGAGAGUGGGAGGAGGCGGAGGAUUGGGCAGGAGGAGGAGUACGAUCAAGAGGAGGAAGAGGAGGAUACGAGAGGAGCACACGCCUGGCUGCUCACCCAAUCGGAGGCGGCGGCGGAGGUGACAGUGGCGGCGCGAAUCACUGCCAGCCAAUCACUUAGGGCGAUUGGCUGUGACGUUAUCAGUCUUCAUUUGCGUCAGGCCGCGGUCGUUGUGGUGACCAAUGGCAGCUUCAAAUAUACUGAAAAAUUACACUGUUUCGAACUCGGUGUUACGAAGCCAAGCGAACCACCUGCGAGCAGCAGUGGCGCCGCGCAGUCCACUGUCCACUGGUGAGGCGCCGGGAGUGCGAGCCGCGAGCGUGCUGUGGAGCCUCCUAGGCCAUGGCGCCCCCAACGCCCACACGGGAUGAGUACAAAACAACAUACCUACCCAUGAGAUCCUCUUUGAACUCUAGUCAAGACCCCCGGCCAGGGAGAUCCCGCGGGACUGGCCAGACCCAACCCCUGCCCUGCCACGCUGCUGCUUCUGCUCUUCCUGGUAGUGGAUACUCACAUCUGGUACUGGCGCAGCAGCAGGCCUGUCAGCUCCCCUACUCUGUUGGCAUUGUUCUGGGACGUCAAGGACACAACCAAGUCAUUGCCGCCCCUCAGAUGGAUUAUCACCAGCUGGUCUUGUCCAGGGCUCACACUGAUCCCAGUCACCUGAGGAGCAAUAGUACAGCCGGGUAGUGCACGCUGACAGAGGUGAGGAUGGGUGGGAUGCUGCACCCUUCAUGUGACCUACUAUGUACACUCACGUGAGACCAACGCUUGCUUAAUGACCUCAGUUCACUCAUUUUUUGUUCCUCACAUAGUUUCUUCAUACUUUCAUUAGUAAACUGUACAACAGCCUUUCUUUGCUUAUAUUUCCUCUUCCUUAUAACCUGAACCCUUUUAUGAGUUGAGUAGCAACACUUUUCAAACCUAAUCUGACCAUCUAUCCCAGAAGUAUUUGUGUCCUCUGUUAUACUAUGUUUGCAGCAUGAAGUCCGUUCUAGGUGUGGCAGAUUAUGGAAUUCCCAUGAGUAUGGCGCUGCUAGUUCGACCGCCAAUUAUCAGAUUAACACUGUCUCCCUACCCACAACCUAAUUGGCAGUCAAACUGGCAGCACCGCACUGAUGGGAAUUCCAGAAUCUGCCACAACUAGAACGGACUUCAUGCUGCGAACAGAGUAUAGUGGGAACUGUGCUUUUAACUCAACUAAACUGCUCUCUAACUGUCCUAUAAAUCUUUAGAAAAGGUUUUGUAUGCUAGAUAGUAACUUUGCCAGACAGUACAUAGUGUCCUCCUGCAGCAGCUGCUUGUGGCACAUCAAUUUUUGUUAAUUUCUUCAAUCCAGUGAAGUGCAAGUAUCUAUAAUUGUCUAUCAUAAAAGAAAAUAGGCUUGUAGCCGUUUUCUGUGGUUUGUUUUCAGAAAAAUGCUCUAAAUAACAAAUUUAUGCUGAAGCCUGUUAUAUUUGGAAGACAACAGGGUAGUGUUGUGUGGCUAUAGUCAUGACUGCAGUGAGAAAGGGAGAUCAGGCAGGUGUGACAUCCAGGUUUCCCUAGCUAACCACUCAUCAACCAGCCCAAAAAGUAGAAUGAACAGCUGGGAGAACUGCACACCCAGCGCCUGGACCAGGACUCUAACUCAGAUGCUUGGACUCAUCACUUCACUACAUUACAGAGGACCUAUAUCCUACUUAUAGUACUUUAAAUUAAGAAAUUGGCAGUUGCUUACCACACACAAGGAUAUAAGAAGAGUACAAGAGGCUGUCUGGUCUCUUGUAGUCUCUCCUUGUAUUCUCGUGUAUAAUGCAUGCAUCUGGCAUCUGAAUGUGAUUUUAGAAAAAUACAAUGUAUAAAAUGAUAACAAACAAAUACUUCAAAUUCCCAUCUGACCUUCAAUGAACUGAAAGGCCAACAUGAAUAUUUAUAAAUCAACCUAUUUUAAUUAAAAAAUUUCAUUGCU